CCAACCCAACCACUUAAUUCAACUACCACACACCCUCAAUCAAAAUAUUUAACCACGCAUUAAAGUAUAGGAGAUAGAAAUUCUACUUGGAGCUAUAGAGAAAGUACCGCAAGGGAAUGAUGAAAGAAAAUUCAAAGUAAUAAACAGCAAAGACUACCCCUUAUACCUUUUGCAUAAUGAGCUAGCUAGAAUAAUUUAGCGAAGAGACCUUAAGCUAACUUCCCCGAAACCAGACGAGCUACCUAUGACCAAUCCACAGGGAUAAACUCAUCUAUGUCCCAAAAUAGUGAGAAGACUUGCAGGUAGAGGUGAAAAGCCUAACGAGCCUGGUGAUAGCUGGUUGCCCAGAAUAGAAUUUUAGUUCAACUUUAAAUUUACCUACAAACCCCAAAAUUAUAAUGUAAAUUUAAAAUAUAAUCUAAAAAGGUACAGCUUUUUAGAACAAGGAAACAACCUUGCUUACAGAGUAAAAUUUAUAGAUGA
rnacentral:rRNA from 1 species